CACAGCCUCGGGCCCCACCCACGAUGCACACACACCCAACCCACGCGCACACACACCCGCAUUGGAUCCCAUCUCUCUCGUCUUCCUCGAUCCCCUUUCUCCACCCCACGCUGCCGCCAGAUUUCGACGAUCCCCGCCGUUCCCCACCGCCCAGCUCUCCUCCUGGUGGUCACCUAUCCCUGCUCACCAUCUCCACUGACCGGUUUCUCUCCUUGCCCAGGAGAGUCCCGCCUCCUCGCCGCCAAGGCCGCCGCCGCCCGCCGCCUCGAGUGGCGCUGCCUCCUCCUCGAGCGACGCGCCGCAGACCUCGCCUCCCGUGCCUUCGCCGCCCGUGCUGACAUCGACGCCACCCACACACGCCAGGGUGCCUCUUCCUUCGACGACCACGCCACCCAGCGCCACCAGCACGCCGCCGCACCACCACCGAGCUUCCAGCUCUCCCUGUCCCAAUCGCCUCCUUCCUCCGGCAACCACGCCACCCAGCGCCACCAGGAUGUCGCCGCACCACCACCGAGCUUCCAGCUCUUCCCGUCCCAAUCCCCUCCUCCGGCCGGCCGCUCCUCCCUCUCGUCGGUCAAAGGUGACAUUUUUAGUAGCCGGGGUGAUCGAUUCGUGGCGGCGGUGCUCGAUUCGUGGGCGGCGGUGCUCGAUCCGUGGACAGCGGUGCUCAAUCCAUGUUGGAGCAGCGGGAGAAGGAGGCCAGGGUGGAGAUCGUGGUGCGGGAGCGGGAGCUCGGCGAGACGGUGGCGGUGGCGGGGGGGCAGCUCCGGUCGUCCACGCUCCUCGUCAGCCUCCAUGACAAGAGCUUCCUCUACAGGCAACUGAAUAAAUUCAGCUAUCUGAACUCGCUGGGAGCUGCCAGGCUAUGAAUUUGCUUCUGUUCUCGUGACUUUUUGUCAGACCGCCGAGCCCGUACGCCGGUGUGAGCUUCCUGGGCUGCCGGGUGCUCGCCGUCCGGCAGCAGACCACAGUGCGACACGGGGGCGGUGGAGGCCGAGCUCACCCAGCUCGAGACCAUACGGUGGCAGUAGGAGACUGAGCACCAUGUGGUGUGGGCGCCGAUUCAAAAUCACUAGCGAGUCCUACUUCAACUGCAAUGCAAUGGGAAAAGAAGCAAGGAGUACAAGGAACACACAUUAUGUUAACAGAAUGAGCGUCUUGAGCUGGUGCGGCGUUCGUGCGGGGCUGGUGCACGAGGUAGGAGCCAGCUGCACUCGCCUCUUCUUCCCCAGAGGGUGCAGGAGACGUUCCUCGCCCACACUUAAUUCAGUGAAAAGAUUCAGUUAGUUGUUCUCCUGUAUCUCUGCAUACUUAAUUCAGUUUGGUUGCAGUAGUUUCUCUCUGAUGGUAGUACUUGUAUCUUUGCAUACUUAAUUCACUGAAUUUGGUUGCAGUAGUUGAUUCAAGUGAAAAGAUUCAGUUAGUUUUCCAGUAGUUUUGCUGGAGUAAUAAGGAAAAGUUGCAGUAGUUUGUCAAUGUUAACCUUGACGUAUCUGCAGUUUUAGUCACUGCUUGCUACUCCUCCUUAUAACUGCAGUUUAGUUGCUUCAGUCGCUGCUUAUUUCUUUAGUAGCUAAAUAAGUUUAGUUUAGUUUAGUUGAAGUGAGCUGCGUUCUUGCUGCGGCCUUGCGUAUUUCAUUUUGUGUAGUCGAACUACUCCAUUUUGCUUUUAUGUUGUUCAACUAAAUGAAUCUACACAAAUCUAAAUGGAGUGGUUCAUACAAACCACUAGCUAGACCUUUACUUUCUCACAUUACUAGUUCCAGUGUCACUACCAGUCAGACUUUUCUUACUAGUGCUAUAUUUAGAGGCAUUUGUUCCUCUGCUUGAAGUCUUAUCAACUCCAGUAGCCAUAUAAUCAAUAUAUACUCCAUCAUAUUCAUCCCUUAGCCCCAUUUUCCCAUUUGUAUCGUUGCUUGAGUAGUUAAGCUGUCAAUCUACUUUGCUACCAAAAAGUUGUAUUAAUGAGUAAUGACUGAGUUCAGUUUUCAUUCUCCAUUGUUAAAUAAUGUACUGAUCUGUAGGAGUAUUCCAGAUUUGGUGUAGGAGUAAAAAUUAACUAAAUCCUUUUCCAGUUAAUUAAAAUUAACUGAAUUCUUGCUUCUCACUCCUUUUUCUCUUCUCUUACAUUAGUUCAAGAUCUUCUUCAUUUAAUUAGCAGUAGUGUAGGAGUAAAAGCUUACAAAAAGACCAAAUCAGAUUUAGCACUUGCAGUACUAUGGCACUUGUACUAAUAUUUCUACUUACUCCUAUUAAUAUUGCCAGUGUUUAAUUCUGUUAAUAUUGCUAGUGUUUACUCAUUUCAAUUAGUGCUAAUGUUUACUCCAUGUCAAUAUUACUUUUACUGUCAUGGUCAUGUUAUUUGAACCUUAAGGCUUUGUGCACCUUAUUUGAACUUUCAGAAACCAGCCUAAUUUCCUUAGGUGAACUCAUAAUAUGACAAUUGUUUCAGAAACAACACCCUUUUCAAUACAUCAAUUCUGCCUUUUCUUGUCAAGAAACAACACCCUUUUCAGUACAUCAUCUGCAAAUUUGAUUCACUUAGUGUUACUCCUAACUGAAUUCCUUUGGCAGUGUGAAAGAAAGAGAACUCGAGCCAAGGUGAUGGUGAUGGAAAUGAAUGAAAGAAAGAGAAGCUAGUAAAUAAAGAAACUGAGAUUUAGUUUGAUUUGGAGCGCCUCUUGUUGUACCAUAGUUCCUUCUCUUGGAGUAGUACUUGUACAACAGGUUUUGGAUUGGGAGGGGAAAAUGCUCUUCCUUCAGUCUCUGUUGAAGUCAAACCCAUCCAUGCAAAAUAUGUACUGUAGUACAAUUAAUGUAGAUGAAUAUAUAUGCCUUGCAGUUUUAUCGUGCAUGCCAUUCAACUAACUUGCUCUUGUCCAUGCAGAUGGAGUAGGAGGACGAGCAGCAGCAGCAAAUCAGCCUGAUGAUGAUGGGGUGCAGAAGGCAAUGGUGAUCAUGCUGAUGGCAUGAAGAAGGCUGAUGACCACAACCUGGACCUUUUGGCAUUUAGAGAUGGAAAACACAGGCGGCGUGGAGACAACAACCUGGACCACCCACCUCCCUUGCCUUUUUAAUUUUGGUUGUGGUGGUUGCAUCACCGUCGCGGUCGCAAAUCAGUAUGUAGUGUGCUUGUGGAGUUGGGUCUGGACUGCAGUGUCCAUCUAGUAGGUUAGGUGUUGUUGCUGCUAGAUCCCAUGAUGCUCACCUAAGUUUUGUGUUAUGUGGAGGCCAACCUUUGUGAUCUUAUUUGUCGACACUUGUGUGAUCUCGUCUUACUUUGUGAUACAAGUUGUACGAUAUAUAUGUUUUUAUGGAUGAUCUUAUGAUGUUCUUCUUUUCCUG
rnacentral:rRNA from 1 species